rnacentral:lncRNA from 1 species
CUCGUCAAAGGGAAAGAAGUUGGGACGGCAAGGUGAUCGAAGACGUCAACAUAAGGAGGCCCCCAAUGCGAAAGGCAAAACAAAAACAGGUUGAUUAAACGUCCAAGAAUAAAUUAUGAUUUGCAAAACAAAAACAGGUUGAUUAAACGUCCAAGAAUAAAGUAUGAUUUUUGAAGAAUUCUUGAAAAAUCAAGUGGAAGAAGACAUCAUUCUACAAAUCGAAACAUUCACAACAACAGAGAAAAAAGGGAAUCUUUUUGGUUUCCUCAUCUAUUUAUUUUACCAUCACGUUAGUAUAAUUCUAUGUAAUAUCAUCACGGAGUAUGUUAUAAACUCUGUGAUGAUCCGUCAAUUCUUAGUUCAUGCGAGUUCCUUCUAUUUAUAUGCUUGCUAGUCCAGGAGGCCUUUGCCUCAAUAGGAUAGAUAAGGUAAAGUCUAUGCCGGCAGUGUUAUAUGGGUAACAUUACCGGCGUAAUCCGCCUUAUUUUAUUUCUCCUAUUUGUUGUAAUUUUCCUUUUCCUAUUAUUAUUU